AGGACGAACGCUGGCGGCGUGCUUAACACAUGCAAGUCGAACGGAAAGGCCCGCUUGCGGGUACUCGAGUGGCGAACGGGUGAGUAACACGUGGGCAACCUGCCCUCAGCUUCGGGAUAACACUUGGAAACAGGUGCUAAUACCGGAUAAUAACCUUUCAUCGCAUGGUGUGGGGUUCAAAGUUUUUCGGCUGGGGAUGGGCCCGCGGCCUAUCAGCUUGUUGGUGGGGUAAUGGCCUACCAAGGCGACGACGGGUAGCCGGCCUGAGAGGGCGACCGGCCACACUGGGACUGAGACACGGCCCAGACUCCUACGGGAGGCAGCAGUGGGAAUAUUGCGCAAUGGGCGGAAGCCUGACGCAGCGACGCCGCGUGAGGGAUGACGGCCUUCGGGUUGUAAACCUCUUUCAGCUCUGACGAAGCGCAAGUGACGGUAGGAGCAGAAGAAGCGCCGGCUAACUACGCGCCAGCGAGCCGC
rnacentral:rRNA from 1 species